rnacentral:rRNA from 1 species
CCUACGGGAGGCAGCAGUGAGGAAUAUUGGUCAAUGGGCGCGAGCCUGAACCAGCCACGUCGCGUGAAGGAUGACUGCCCUACGGGUUGUAAACUUCUUUUAUAAAGGAAUAAAGUGAGGCACGUGUGCCUUUUUGUAUGUACUUUAUUAAUAAGGAUCGGCUAACUCGGUGCCAGCAGCCGCGGUAAUACGGAGGAUCCGAGCGUUAUCCGGAUUUAUUGGGUUUAAAGGGAGCGUAGAUGGGUUGUUAAGUUAGUUGUGAAAUUUGUUGGCUCAACCGUAAAAUUGCAAUUAAUACUGGCAGUCUUGAGUACAGGAGAGGUAGGCGGAAUUCGUGGUGUAGCGGUGAAAUGCUUAGAUAUUACGAAGAACUCCGAUUGCGAAGGCAGCUUACUAAACUGCCACUGACAUUGAUGCUCGAAAGUGUGGGUAUCAAACAGGAUUAGAUACCCGAGUAGUC